CAGUAAUGAUGGUUCUUCAAGAUGUGUCCCCCUGCAGGUGCUCCACUUUAGGUGUCGGUGCAUCCUUGAAUUGCCGAUCGGAGAUUUUAGGUAGCAGUGCUUGGUCGGGUCGCCCAUGCGCAGUAGUCGUCUCUCUGUGCUGUUGGCGCCUUAUGGAGUUUGCGCAUGACCCAACCCUCUCAGUUCCUUCUUUACUGAGGAGCUCAAGGUACGAACUCCAAAGUAGAGAGGAGAAGGGCAGGUAGUGGAGCACCCACAGGGGGACACAUCUCAAAGAACCAUUGUUACUGCACAACGUGCGUAACUACUUCUUCAAGUAGUGUCCCUGUAGGUGCUCCACUUUAGGUGUCUGUAAAGCAGUGCCCUACUGAGGACAGCAAGGGCUUGGGAGUUGUAUGUUGUAGCAGAGGGCACAGUAAGGCCUAGUAUAGCGUCUGAAAUAGUGCACUGGCUGAUAGCAUAGUGUUUUGCAAAGGUGUGCUCUGAUGCCCGUGCGGCAGCCCUAUGUAUAUCUAUUAGAGGGACAUUUUCAGGAAGGUUAUGGAUGUAGCCAUGGCACGGGAUGUCUGGUGGAGGUUCCUUGUUGUGCAACUGGUAGCAAAGUUGGAUACAGGUAGAGAUCCAUUUAGAUAGUCUCUGGGUCGAUAUUGCCCAGCCCUUGGAGCAUUCUGUUAUGGAAAUAAACAAUCUUGGGGAUUUGCAGAAGGGUAUGGUUCUGUCUAAAUAGAAUGCUAUGGCUCAUCUGACAUCUAGCAUAUGUAGGUCGACCUCUUAUGUAUCCAAGUGUAGUUUAGGGUAAAAUGUAGGUAGGUGUAAGGUUUGAUUUACAUGAAAGGAUGUUGCUACGUUCGGUAAAAAUUUUGGGUGUGGUCAUAACAUGAUUUUGUCUUUAGUGAACACAGUGUAAGGAGGUUCGGCCAUAAGUGCCCUGAUUUCGCUGACUCAUCUGGCUGAUGUGAUCGCUACCAAAAACCCAACUUUCAUAGACAUAUGAAGGAGUGAACAGGUCGCCAGUGGUUCAAAAAGUGCUCUUGUAAGGCAUUUGGUACACAAUUCAAGUCCCCUGGUGGUGCUGGUUGUCGAACUUCUGGGUGCAUAUUCUGUAUACCAAUGAGAAAGGGUCUAGUAGUUGGUCCAAUUAGCUAUGUUGGAACCACGUAGGAGCCAUGCUUUGAGGUGGAGUUUCUCCGGAUUCAGAUGGAGAGUCCAGCCUCCAUUCUGUGAGAGGAGAUCCAUCCACAAUGGAAGAUGUCAUGGAGCACACAUUGUUAGGCACGACCGGCUGAGGGAUAGGAAACAAUCGACGGUGAAUUGCAUGAAUGGAAGUGCUUUGUCAAGUGUUGAGGCUUUGAGGAGGCAGUCGUCUAGGACUGGAGGGUUGCCCUUGAAUCCUUCAUUAAGUGAAGGACGUCAUUCAUUGUGGAGGCAAAGAGUUUGUCGCCGUCGAAUGGAAGGUCUUCAAUGGUACUCUGGACCCCUCAAGGAAAUGAAGAGGAGGAGAGCCACAAACCUCAGCACAACUACUGCUGUAGCAGUGGAUCUUGCUGCAGUAUUGGCCGCAUCGAGGAUCACUUGAAGAGCAGUACGUGAUAUGAUUUGUCCCUCAGAGACUAAAGCAGUGAAUUGUUGUUUCAUUUCUUCUGGAAUGUCCUCAAUAAAGUCCAUGAAUUUGUUGCAAUUUUUGUGAUAUUUUGCCA